rnacentral:tRNA from 1 species
GGAAAGGUGCAGGAGUGGCUGAACUGGCACGCCUGGAAAGCGUGUGUGCGUGAAAGCGUACCGAGGGUUCGAAUCCCUCUCUUUCCG